GACGAACGCUGGCGGCGUGCUUAACACAUGCAAGUCGAACGAUGACGACCGAGCUUGCUCGGUCUGAUUAGUGGCGAACGGGUGAGUAACACGUGAGCAACCUGCCCUUCACUCUGGGAUAACCUCGGGAAAUCGGGGCUAAUACCGGAUAUGAGCUCCUGUCGCAUGGCGGGUGUUGGAAAGUUUUUCGGUGAAGGAUGGGCUCGCGGCCUAUCAGUUUGUUGGUGAGGUAGUGGCUCACCAAGGCGAUGACGGGUAGCCGGCCUGAGAGGGCGACCGGCCACACUGGGACUGAGACACGGCCCAGACUCCUACGGGAGGCAGCAGUGGGGAAUACUGCACAGUGGGCGAAAGCCUGAUGCAGCGACGCCGCGUGAGGGAUGACGGCCUUCGGGUUGUAAACCUCUUUCAGCAGGGAAGAAGCGAAAGUGACGGUACCUGCAGAAGAAGCGCCGGCUAACUACGUG
rnacentral:rRNA from 1 species